rnacentral:rRNA from 1 species
AGGGAAUCUUCCACAAUGGACGAAAGUCUGAUGGAGCAAUGCCGCGUGAGUGAAGAAGGGUUUCGGCUCGUAAAACUCUGUUGUUAAAGAAGAACACCUUUGAGAGUAACUGUUCAAGGGUUGACGGUAUUUAACCAGAAAGCCACGGCUAACUACGUGCCAGCAGCCGCGGUAAUACGUAGGUGGCAAGCGUUGUCCGGAUUUAUUGGGCGUAAAGCGAGCGCAGGCGGUUUUUUAAGUCUGAUGUGAAAGCCUUCGGCUUAACCGGAGAAGUGCAUCGGAAACUGGGAGACUUGAGUGCAGAAGAGGACAGUGGAACUCCAUGUGUAGCGGUGGAAUGCGUAGAUAUAUGGAAGAACACCAGUGGCGAAGGCGGCUGUCUAGUCUGUAACUGACGCUGAGGCUCGAAAGCAUGGGUAGCGAAC